GACGAACGCUGGCGGCGUGCUUAACACAUGCAAGUGGAGCGACGAACCGGGCUUCGGCCCGGGGCAAAGCCGCGAACGGGUGAGUAACACGUGGGUAACCUGCCCCGAUGACCGGGACAACCCGAGGAAACUCGGGCUAAUACCGGAUGUAGAACCUUCACAUAAGUGACGUUUCUAAAGGUAUCUUCGGCUUCCGCAUUGGGAGGGGCCCGCGGCCCAUUAGCUUGUUGGUGAGGUAACGGCUUACCAAGGCCGCGAUGGGUAGCUGGUCUGAGAGGACGAUCAGCCACACUGGGACUGAGACACGGCCCAGACUCCUACGGGAGGCAGCAGUGGGGAAUCUUGCGCAAUGCGCGAAAGCGUGACGCAGCAACGCCGCGUGGGGGAAGAAGGCCUUCGGGUUGUAAACCCCUUUCAGGAGGGACGAAGGUCACACGGUGAAUAGCCGGCGUGACUGACGGUACCUCCAGAAGAAGCCCCGGCUAACUACGUGCCAGCCGCCGCUGUAAUAC
rnacentral:rRNA from 1 species